UACGGGGGGAGCAAGCGUUGUUCGGAUUUACUGGGCGUAAAGGGCGCGUAGGCGGUCAGCACAAGUCAGUUGUGAAAUCUCCGGGCUUAACUCGGAACGGUCAACUGAUACUGUGCGACUAGAGUGCAGAAGGGGCAACUGGAAUUCUCGGUGUAGCGGUGAAAUGCGUAGAUAUCGAGAGGAACACCUGCGGCGAAGGCGGGUUGCUGGGCUGUUGCUGACGCUGAAGCGCGACAGCGUGGGGAGCAAACAGG
rnacentral:rRNA from 1 species